rnacentral:rRNA from 1 species
AUUGAACGCUGGCGGCAUGCCUUACACAUGCAAGUCGAACGGUAACAGGUCUUCGGAUGCUGACGAGUGGCGAACGGGUGAGUAAUACAUCGGAACGUGCCUAGCAGUGGGGGAUAACUACUCGAAAGAGUGGCUAAUACCGCAUGAGAUCUACGGAUGAAAGCAGGGGAUCGCAAGACCUUGUGCUACUAGAGCGGCCGAUGGCAGAUUAGGUAGUUGGUGGGAUAAAAGCUUACCAAGCCGACGAUCUGUAGCUGGUCUGAGAGGACGAUCAGCCACACUGGGACUGAGACACGGCCCAGACUCCUACGGGAGGCAGCAGUGGGGAAUUUUGGACAAUGGGGGCAAGCCUGGUCCAGCAAGGCCGCGUGCAGGAUGAAGGCCUUCGGGUUGUAAACUGCUUUUGUACGGAACGAAAAGCCCUGGGUUAAUACCCUGGGGUCAUGACGGUACCGUAAGAAUAAGCACCGGCUAACUACGUGCCAGCAGCCGCCGUAAAAC